GAUGCAGGAGGUGAGAUGCAGGGUGAGAUGCAGGCUAUGAGAUGCAGGAUGAGAUGCAGGCUAUGAGAUGCAGAGAGUGAGAUGUAGGCUAUGAGAUGCAGGCUAUGAGAUGCAGGGUGAGAUGCAGGGUGAGAUGCAGGGUGAGAUGCA